rnacentral:lncRNA from 1 species
GGUGCUUCUGAAGGCAAUUUAAUUGGUUACUGUUCUAUCAGCAAAUAUAUUUUAGGGUGACUUUUCUUUUUAAUGUUAGUUUUUGAAAAGUCUUUCAAUUUCUCCCUUUGACAGUGGCAAGAUCAUGGGAAGAUGCUGUAAAACUGAUUGCUAAGGAACCACAAACUACAGUUGUAAAAAACAGCCUUCAAAGACCAAUUAAGAGAAAACAAAGGACUAAUACUCUCCAGAAACCUGCAACCAAUGUUCAAAAUCAAUUUCACACAGGCC